AACCGCCGUGUACGGAACCGUACGCAUGGUGGUGUGACAGGUCGGAGCCUGUUGGAUCAUCCUACUCUAU
rnacentral:misc_RNA from 1 species